rnacentral:rRNA from 1 species
AGUCGGACCUGCCCGGUGAGAAGUUUUCUUUAACGGCCGCGGUACUCUGACCGUGCAAAGGUAGCAUAAUCAUUUGCCUUAUAAUUGAAGGCUAGUAUGAAUGGUUUGACAAGAAUGUAGCUGUCUCUUUUUAAUUUAGUAGAAUUUUAUUUUUAGGUGAAAAAGCCUAGAUGUUAUUAAAAGACAAGAAGACCCUAUCGAGCUUUAAAGAAUUUAGUGGAUGAAAUAAUGAUUUUAGUUUAUCUAUAGAUUUUAUAAAAGAUGAUGCUAUUAAAUUAUUUUGGUUGGGGCGACUGAGGAACAUAAAAAGCUUCCUUUAGAUAAUUUAUACAUACUGGUGUUGAUCCAAAUUUGUUGAUUAAUGGAAUUAGUUACCGUAGGGAUAACAGCAUUAUCUUCCUUGAGAGUUCAUAUCGAAAGGAGGGUUUGUGACCUCGAUGUUGGACCAGAAUGUCCUAAAGAUGCAGAAGUCUUUGAGGGUUGGUCUGUUCGACCAUUAAAAUUCUA